rnacentral:tRNA from 1 species
UUUUCCGUAGUAUAGUGGUCAGUAUGUGAGCUUGUCAUUCCAACAAACGCUCGAGACCCGGGUUCAAUCUCCGGCGGGAGAG